rnacentral:rRNA from 1 species
GAUGAACGCUAGCGGCAGGCUUAAUACAUGCAAGUCGUGGGGCAGCAGGUUUGUAGCAAUACAGAUGCUGGCGACCGGCAAACGGGUGCGGAACACGUACAGAACCUUCCUUUGAGCGGGGAAUAGCCCAGAGAAAUUUGGAUUAAUACCCCAUAGUAUAAUGAAGUGGCAUCACUUUAUUAUUAAAGAUUUAUCACUCGAAGAUGGCUGUGCGGCUGAUUAGGUAGUUGGCGGGGUAAAGGCCCACCAAGCCUGCGAUCAGUAACUGGUGUGAGAGCACGACCAGUCACACGGGCACUGAGACACGGGCCCGACUCCUACGGGAGGCAGCAGUAAGGAAUAUUGGUCAAUGGAGGCAACUCUGAACCAGCCAUGCCGCGUGGAGGAUGAAGGUCCUCUGGAUUGUAAACUUCUUUUAUAUGGGAACGAAAAAGGCUUUUCUAAGUCGUCUGACGGUACCAUAUGAAUAAGCACCGCUAACUCCGUGCCAGCACG